UACAGAGGGGGCAAGCGUUGUUCGGAAUUACUGGGCGUAAAGGGCGCGUAGGCGGCCUGUUAAGUCGAACGUGAAAUCCCCGGGCUCAACCCGGGAACUGCGUCCGAUACUGGCAGGCUUGAAUCCGGGAGAGGGAUGCGGAAUUCCAGGUGUAGCGGUGAAAUGCGUAGAUAUCUGGAGGAACACCGGUGGCGAAGGCGGCAUCCUGGACCACGACUGACGCUGAGUGAGCGAAAGCCAGGGGAGCAAACGGG
rnacentral:rRNA from 1 species